UCAUUCAUCCUUCUUCUUCUCUCUUCUUUGGCCGUGGCAUUUCUUUAUCAUUUCCCUUCCAUCACAAAUUUUCAUUUCUUCACCAAAUUGAUCCAUUAGAAGCUUGUUGGAAUCAUGGGAAUUCAAGGAUCAUCAUCCCUAAGCUAGGGCAAGCAAGAGAGCAAAGCAAGAGGGUGCUAGGGCUUGAGAAAGAGAGGAGCUCAUGAGAGCUAGAACAUGAGGAGCUUGAGGAUUCAUCAAAUUUCUAAGAUAUCCAGGUUGACAGGUUAUAUGUUAGCUUGUCCGAGUAGCGUGGUGAAGCUCCGCUCUGAUUGUGACACGGGGA